rnacentral:rRNA from 1 species
UACGGAGGGUGCAAGCGUUAUCCGGAUUUACUGGGUUUAAAGGGUGCGUAGGCGGGCCUUUAAGUCAGUGGUGAAAGCUCCGAGCUUAACUCGGAAACUGCCAUUGAUACUAUUGGCCUUGAAUUCGGUCGAGGUUGGCGGAAUGUGUCGUGUAGCGGUGAAAUGCUUAGAUAUGACACAGAACACCGAUUGCGAAGGCAGCUAGCUAGACCGACAUUGACGGUGAGGGAUGAAAGCUGGGGGAGCAAACCGG